GAUGAACGCUGGCGGCGUGCCUAAUACAUGCAAGUCGAGCGAACGGACGAGAAGCUUGCUUUUCUGAUGUUAGCGGCGGACGGGUGAGUAACACGUGGAUAACCUACCUAUAAGACUGGGAUAACUUCGGGAAACCGGAGCUAAUACCGGAUAAUAUUUUGAACCGCAUGGUUCAAAAGUGAAAGACGGUCUUGCUGUCACUUAUAGAUGGAUCCGCGCUGCAUUAGCUAGUUGGUAAGGUAACGGCUUACCAAGGCAACGAUGCAUAGCCGACCUGAGAGGGUGAUCGGCCACACUGGAACUGAGACACGGUCCAGACUCCUACGGGAGGCAGCAGUAGGGAAUCUUCCGCAAUGGGCGAAAGCCUGACGGAGCAACGCCGCGUGAGUGAUGAAGGUCUUCGGAUCGUAAAACUCUGUUAUUAGGGAAGAACAUAUGUGUAAGUAACUGUGCACAUCUUGACGUUACCUAAUCAGAAAGCCACGGCUAACUACGUG
rnacentral:rRNA from 1 species